rnacentral:lncRNA from 1 species
GGGAGGACGCGGCGCGCGGGAGGCGGCGGUCGCAGGGCGAGCCCCGGGACGCCCCGAGCCGGGGCCGGGGCCGGGGAGAGGGCGCAGCGAGGUGGGGGCCAGUCCAGACCGACGGCAGCGACGGAGCGGGCGGCGGCGGCGGCGCCGGCGGCGGCGGGGUGGCUCAGUCCCCAGUCUCAGACGCGCCGCGCAGCAGGUCGGAGCAGCCUCCCCGGGAGGAUGUCCAGCGGCAGCGCUCCUCGCUCCAGCCCUUGGGGAUCUUCCGCUGAGGCAUUGAAGGCAGGAAGAAGGGGUCCGUCAUCGGCUCGCCGGGCUGCGCGCCACCUCUGCUAUCUUGCGGAAAGAGGAGCGGGCAUACAACUUAGGAUUCAUAACUACAUAUAUACGGAUAGAAGUGCAUGAACAGAAAAUCUGCCCUUCUGGAAUACCAAAUGCAAAAUUAAAGUGACUACAAGCAGAAUUUGGAGAAAAAAAUAAAAGAUGCAAUAUAGUUUUUAAAAUCAUUGUUAAAAUAUAAUGAGUCUGUACUUUGCUUAAACAAUAAAAAAGUCUUCGAUUUAUA